rnacentral:rRNA from 1 species
UACGGAGGGUGCAAGCGUUAAUCGGAAUUACUGGGCGUAAAGCGUGCGCAGGCGGUUUGUUAAGUCUGCUGUGAAAUCCCCGAGCUCAACUUGGGAAUUGCAGUGGAUACUGGCAGGCUGGAGUAUGGUAGAGGAAGGUGGAAUUCCCGGUGUAGCAGUGAAAUGCGUAGAGAUCGGGAGGAACACCAGCGGCGAAGGCGGCCUUCUGGACCAAUACUGACGCUCAUGCACGAAAGCGUGGGGAGCAAACAGG